rnacentral:piRNA from 2 species
GAACAAGGGCCAAACCACCUCAUCGUGGGAA